UACGAAGGGGGCUAGCGUUGUUCGGAAUUAUUGGGCGUAAAGAGCGUGUAGGCGGCCUGACAGGUCUGCUGUGAAAACUCGAGGCUCAACCUCGAGAUGUCGGCGGAAACCGUCUGGCUAGAGUCCGGAAGAGGAGAGUGGAAUUCCUGGUGUAGCGGUGAAAUGCGCAGAUAUCAGGAAGAACACCUAUGGCGAAGGCAGCUCUCUGGGACGGUACUGACGCUGAGACGCGAAAGCGUGGGGAGCGAACAGG
rnacentral:rRNA from 1 species